UGCUCAGGCUGCACCAUCAGGGGGGCCUGAUGAAAAACUGGGCUGGCUUACUCAAUCAAAGACAUCACUAAUUGAGGAAUUUCAAACAGGAAUGUGGGCGAAGCUUUUUUAGACAGUUGA